rnacentral:lncRNA from 1 species
GUGGCUUCUUUGGAGGUUCAUGUACGGGUGAUUUGGGUUUUGACUUCUCUUUCUUUGGAGGUUCAUGGACUGGUGGUUUAGGUUUAUAUGCUGGAGGCUUCUUUAGAGGUUCAUGGAUUGGUGGCUUCUUUGGAGGUUCAUAUAUCGGUGGCUUGUGUUCUGGUUUCUCUUUCUUUGGAGGUUCGUGAACUGGUAGCUUUGGUGGUUUAGGUUCAUGAAUCGGUGGCUUCUUUGGAAAUUCAUGGAGUGGUGGUUUAUGUUUAUACAUUGGAGGCUUCUUUAGAGGUUCAUGGAUUGAUGGCGUAGGUUUAUACAUUGGAGGCUUAUUUGGAAGUUCAUCUGAUGGUGGCUUGUGUUCUAGUUUCUUUUUUUUUGGAAGUUUAUGGACUGGUGGCUUAGGGUCAUAUGUUGGAG